rnacentral:rRNA from 1 species
UGGCAAGUCGAACGAACUCUGGUAUUGAUUGGUGCUUGCAUCAUGAUUUACAUUUGAGUGAGUGGCGAACUGGUGAGUAACACGUGGGAAACCUGCCCAGAAGCGGGGGAUAACACCUGGAAACAGAUGCUAAUACCGCAUAACAACUUGGACCGCAUGGUCCGAGUUUGAAAGAUGGCUUCGGCUAUCACUUUUGGAUGGUCCCGCGGCGUAUUAGCUAGAUGGUGGGGUAACGGCUCACCAUGGCAAUGAUACGUAGCCGACCUGAGAGGGUAAUCGGCCACAUUGGGACUGAGACACGGCCCAAACUCCUACGGGAGGCAGCAGUAGGGAAUCUUCCACAAUGGACGAAAGUCUGAUGGAGCAACGCCGCGUGAGUGAAGAAGGGUUUCGGCUCGUAAAACUCUGUUGUUAAAGAAGAACAUAUCUGAGAGUAACUGUUCAGGUAUUGACGGUAUUUAACCAGAAAGCCACGGCUAACUACGUGCCAGCAGCCGCGGUAAUACGUAGGUGGCAAGCGUUGUCCGGAUUUAUUGGGCGUAAAGCGAGCGCAGGCGGUUUUUUAAGUCUGAUGUGAAAGCCUUCGGCUCAACCGAAGAAGUGCAUCGGAAACUGGGAAACUUGAGUGCAGAAGAGGACAGUGGAACUCCAUGUGUAGCGGUGAAAUGCGUAGAUAUAUGGAAGAACACCAGUGGCGAAGGCGGCUGUCUGGUCUGUAACUGACGCUGAGGCUCGAAAGUAUGGGUAGCAAACAGGAUUAGAUACCCUGGUAGUCCAUACCGUAAACGAUGAAUGCUAAGUGUUGGAGGGUUUCCGCCCUUCAGUGCUGCAGCUAACGCAUUAAGCAUUCCGCCUGGGGAGUACGGCCGCAAGGCUGAAACUCAAAGGAAUUGACGGGGGCCCGCACAAGCGGUGGAGCAUGUGGUUUAAUUCGAAGCUACGCGAAGAACCUUACCAGGUCUUGACAUACUAUGCAAAUCUAAGAGAUUAGACGUUCCCUUCGGGGACAUGGAUACAGGUGGUGCAUGGUUGUCGUCAGCUCGUGUCGUGAGAUGUUGGGUUAAGUCCCGCAACGAGCGCAACCCUUAUUAUCAGUUGCCAGCAUUAAGUUGGGCACUCUGGUGAGACUGCCGGUGACAAACCGGAGGAAGGUGGGGAUGACGUCAAAUCAUCAUGCCCCUUAUGACCUGGGCUACACACGUGCUACAAUGGAUGGUACAACGAGUUGCGAACUCGCGAGAGUAAGCUAAUCUCUUAAAGCCAUUCUCAGUUCGGAUUGUAGGCUGCAACUCGCCUACAUGAAGUCGGAAUCGCUAGUAAUCGCGGAUCAGCAUGCCGCGGUGAAUACGUUCCCGGGCCUUGUACACACCGCCCGUCACACCAUGAGAGUUUGUAACACCCAAAGUCGGUGGGGUAACCUUUUAGGAACCAGCCG